rnacentral:ncRNA from 1 species
UAAAUAGCAUUAUCUUAAGGUUCCUUAGCAAUAGAGGAUCUAUAAGGGGAAGUCGGUGAAAAUCCGACGCGGUCCCGCCACUGUAAACAAGGAGUUCUCUUCAGAAAUCCUACCAACAAAGGUUAGGAAAAAGUAGAGAAUGAUGAUUUGAAGCCAGGAAACCUACCUUAAGUAGCAUCACAACC